GUUUGCAAAAUGUGAUUGCCGUGACGCGUUCGGUGUUUUCGUUAAAUUAAAGUAUUUAUUUAAGAUAAAUUCGAGUCAGUGUUAUAAAAUUUAUUGCGAAAAAUCUUUUAAAAAAUUUAUUAUUGUUGAAAUAGUGAAUUUAAUCUUAGAAAAUGUGUAUUCCUUGUAAGAAAUUAAUUUGUUGUCUCCUUCGUGUCGGGUUUUCGUGUUUCUCUCUGUCAACGUCGGUGUUCGUACUCCGUAUGUUUUGUGUGCUCACUGUUUAUAUUUUGGUCUCUUGAUCUCUCUCGCUCUCGGAUUGUGAAAUUGAAAAGCCCAGUUCAGCCUCAUUUGGUAGGACCUACUUACCUACCAAAUUGUAACACAAAUGCUUGGGAAAUAUGAGAAACAUGGCCGUAAUUGAGGCAUGUUUUAUUUUAGCAUGGAUCCUGCUGUUUUUACUUGAGAAUUUUUAUGGCCACAAAUCGCAAUGCAAAAACCGAUCUAGUUUUUUGCACGACUUUGUUAAUCCAUGGUGUCGGACAACUUGUGAAUGCAUUGAAUUACAUGGUGUCAACGCCACCAUACAUCUAGACAUUUUGGAGCAUCCGAUCUAUAGACUCUAGUGUAGCUGAUAACGGAUCUUACAUCAGACGAUUCUAGAAUGGCUUUAUACUAAUA